AUGAGUACAAGGUCAUGUCCUUCGACCUCGCGGGAGCACCAGCCACCUUCUUGGGAGCCAAGAACGCCACUCUCAAACAAACCCCUUCUGCGCAAAUGCGCCCUGGUGUUAUUUGACGACAUUUUAGUCUACAGUGCCUCUCUUGAAGAUCACACAAUCCACUUGCAAUCAGUGCUUGAGUUGUUAAGAAGGGAUCAAUGACAAGUCAAACGCUCAAAGUGCUCUUUCGCUCAACGCCAGUUAUCCUAUUUGGGCCAUACUAUCAGCCAGCAUGGGGUUGCCACUGAAACCCACAAAAUUAAGAACAUUGCCAACUGGUCUUCUCCGCAAUCAGUCAAAGAAGUCCGCAGCUUCUUAGGUUUGGCCGGCUAUUACAGGCGCUUCGUUCGCCAUUUCGGCAUCAUUGCAAAGCCACUGACACAUCUCCAGAAGAAACAUGGGGAGAUUCUGAGCUUUGAGGCAACUAAAGAAACAUGA
rnacentral:rRNA from 1 species